UAGAGUUGUAUGUACAAGGGUUGACGGUGUGAUAUAUGUGAAGAGGGACGAGCAGAGAUAGAAUUGUAUGUACAAGGGUUGACGGUGUGAUAUAUGUGAAGAGGGACGAGCAGAGAUAGAAUUGUAUGUACAAGGGUUGACGGUGUGAUAUAUGUGAAGAGGGACGAGCAGAGAUAGAAUUGUAUGUACAAGGGUUGACGGUGUGAUAUAUGUGAAGAGGGACGAGCAGAGAUAGAAUUGUAUGUACAAGGGUUGACGGUGUGAUAUAUGUGAAGAGGAACGAGCAGAGAUAGAAUUGUAUGUACAAGGGUUGACGGUGUGAUAUAUGUGAAGAGGGACGAGCAGAGAUAGAAUUGUAUGUACAAGGGUUGACGGUGUGAUAUAUGUGAAGAGGGACGAGCAGAGAUAGAAUUGUAUGUACAAGGGUUGACAGUGUGAUAUAUGUGAAGAGGGACG